CGAGCGAGCUUGCCUAGAUGAAUUUGGUGCUUGCACCAAAUGAAACUAGAUACAAGCGAGCGGCGGACGGGUGAGUAACACGUGGGUAACCUGCCCAAGAGACUGGGAUAACACCUGGAAACAGAUGCUAAUACCGGAUAACAACACUAGACGCAUGUCUAGAGUUUAAAAGAUGGUUCUGCUAUCACUCUUGGAUGGACCCGCGGUGCAUUAGCUAGUUGGUAAGGUAACGGCUUACCAAGGCAAUGAUGCAUAGCCGAGUUGAGAGACUGAUCGGCCACAUUGGGACUGAGACACGGCCCAAACUCCUACGGGAGGCAGCAGUAGGGAAUCUCCCACAAUGGACGCAAGUCUGAUGGAGCAACGCCGCGUGAGUGAAGAAGGUUUUCGGAUCGUAAAGCUCUGUUGUUGGUGAAGAAAGAUAGAGGUAGUAACUGGCCUUUAUUUGACGGUAAUUACUUAGAAAGUCACGGCUAACUACGUGCCAGCAGCCGCGGUAAUACGUAGGUGGCAAGCGUUGUCCGGAUUUAUUGGGCGUAAAGCGAGUGCAGGCGGUUCAAUAAGUCUGAUGUGAAAGCCUUCGGCUCAACCGGAGAAUUGCAUCAGAAACUGUUGAACUUGAGUGCAGAAGAGGAGAGUGGAACUCCAUGUGUAGCGGUGGAAUGCGUAGAUAUAUGGAAGAACACCAGUGGCGAAGGCGGCUCUCUGGUCUGCAACUGACGC
rnacentral:rRNA from 1 species